UACGUAGGGGGCUAGCGUUGUCCGGAUUUAUUGGGCGUAAAGAGCGUGUAGGCGGCCAGGUAGGUCUGGUGUGAAAACUCGAGGCUCAACCUCGAGACGCCGGUGGAAACCAUCUAGCUAGAGUCCGGAAGAGGAGAGUGGAAUUCCUGGUGUAGCGGUGAAAUGCGUAGAUAUCCGGAGGAACACCGGUGGCGAAGGCGGCUUCCUGGACCGAUACUGACGCUGAGGCGCGAAAGCUAGGGGAGCAAACGGG
rnacentral:rRNA from 1 species